rnacentral:rRNA from 1 species
AAAGAAACCAACCGGGAUUGCCUUAGUAACGGCGAGUGAAGCGGCAAAAGCUCAAAUUUGAAAUCUGGUACCUUUGGUGCCCGAGUUGUAAUUUGGAGAGGGCAACUUUGGGACCGUUCCUUGUCUAUGUUCCUUGGAACAGGACGUCAUAGAGGGUGAGAAUCCCGUGUGGCGAGGAGUGCGGUUCUAUGUAAAGUGCCUUCGAAGAGUCGAGUUGUUUGGGAAUGCAGCUCUAAGUGGGUGGUAAAUUCCAUCUAAAGCUAAAUAUUGGCGAGAGACCGAUAGCGAACAAGUACAGUGAUGGAAAGAUGAAAAGAACUUUGAAAAGAGAGUGAAAAAGUACGUGAAAUUGUUGAAAGGGAAGGGCAUUUGAUCAGACAUGGUGUUUUGCGCCCUCUGCUCCUUGUGGGUGGGGGAAUCUCGCAGUUCACUGGGCCAGCAUCAGUUUUGGUGGCAGGAUAAAUCCGUAGGAAUGUAACUUGCUUCGGGAAGUAUUAUAGCCUAUGGGAAUACUGCCAGCUGGGACUGAGGACUGCGACGUAAGUCAAGGAUGCUGGCAUAAUGGUUAU